AUCAACGCUGGCGGCGCGCUUAACACAUGCAAGUCGCACGAGAAAGCAGGAGCAAUCUUGUGAGUAAAGUGGCGUACGGGUGAGUAACACGUGGAUCAUCUACCUCUUGGUGGGGAAUAACCCUGGGAAACCGGGGCUAAUACCGCAUAAGCUCGUGAGAGGAAACCCGCAAGGGGCCGAGAGAGGAGUCCGCGGCUGAUUAGCUAGUUGGUGAGGUAAUGGCUCACCAAGGCGAAGAUCGGUAGCCGGCCUGAGAGGGCACACGGCCCACACUGGCACUGAAACACGGGCCAGACUCCUACGGGAGGCAGCAGUGGGGAAUCUUGCACAAUGGAGGAAACUCUGAUGCAGCGACGCCGCGUGAGCGAUGAAGCCCUUCGGGGUGUAAAGCUCUUUCGACGGGAACGAUAAUGACGGUACCCGAAGAAGAAGCUGCGGCUAACUACGUGCCAGCAGCCGCGGUAAUACGUAGGCAGCGAGCGUUGUUCGGAAUUACUGGGCGUAAAGAGUACGUAGGCGGUGCUCUAAGUCUGGUGUGAAAUCUCCCGGCUCAACUGGGAGGGUGCGCCGGAAACUGGAGUGCUCGAGUGCGGGAGAGGUAAGCGGAAUUCCUGGUGUAGCGGUGAAAUGCGUAGAUAUCAGGAGGAACACCCAUGGCGAAGGCAGCUCACUGGGCCUUCCUGACGCUGAGGCGCGAAAAGCGUGGGUAGCAAACAGAAUUAGAUACUCUGGUAGUCCACGCCCUAAACGAUGGAUGCUAGGCGUGAGGGGUAUCGACCCCCCUUGUGCCGCAGCUAACGCAUUAAGCAUCCCGCCUGGGGAGUACGGCCGCAAGGUUGAAACUCAAAUGAAUUGACGGGGACCCGCACAAGCGGUGGAGCAUGUGGAUUAAUUCGAUACUAACCGAAGAACCUUACCCAGGUUUGACAUCGAGUGAAAAGCUAUGAAAGUAGCUCCCUUCCACAAGAAGCACGAAGACACCUGUUGCAUGGCUGUCGUCAGCUCGUGCCGUGAGGUGUUUGGUUAAGUCCAGCAACGAGCGCAACCCUCGUCCUAUGUUGCCAGCGGGUAAAGCCGGGAACUCGUAGGAGACCGCCGGUGCAAGCCAGAGGAAGGUGGGGAUGACGUCAAGUCAGCAUGGCGGUUACGCCUGGGGCUUCACACAUGCUACAAUGGGCGCAACAAAGGGCAGCAAAACCGCGAGGUGGAGCUAAUCCCAAAAUACGUCCUCAGUUCAGAUAGGAGUCUGCAACUCGACUCCUUGAAGGCGGAAUCGCUAGUAAACGCAGGUCAGCUAUACUGCGUUGAAUACGUUCCCGGGUCUUGUACACACCGCCCGUCAAGUCACCCGAAUUGUCUGCACCCGAAGUCCGUGGCCCAACCGUAAGGAGGGAGCGGCCGAAGGUGCGGGGGGUAAGGGGGACU
rnacentral:rRNA from 1 species